rnacentral:rRNA from 1 species
UACGUAGGGGGCAAGCGUUAUCCGGAAUUAUUGGGCGUAAAGAGUGCGUAGGUGGCUAUCUAAGCGCAAGGUUUAAUCUUGAGGCUCAACCUCAUUCUGCCUUGCGAACUGGACUGCUUGAGUGCAGGAGGGGAAAGCGGAAUUCCUAGUGUAGCGGUGAAAUGCGUAGAUAUUAGGAAGAACACCGGUGGCGAAGGCGGCUUUCUGGACUGUAACUGACACUGAGGCACGAAAGCGUGGGGAGCAAACAGGAUUAGAUACCCUGGUA